rnacentral:rRNA from 1 species
ACCGAGUACUACACUCAUAACCCUUUGUGAACCUUUAUACCUGUUGCUUCGGCGGCGCGCCUCUCGGGGCGUGCCCGCCGGUAUCAUCAGAAUCUCUGUUCGAACCCGACGAUAUUUCUGAGUGUUCUAAGCGAACUGUUAAAACUUUCAACAACGGAUCUCUUGGCUCCAGCAUCGAUGAAGAACGCAGCGAAACGCGAUAUGUAAUGUGAAUUGCAGAAUUCAGUGAAUCAUCGAAUCUUUGAACGCACAUGGCGCCUUCCAGUAUCCUGGGAGGCAUGCCUGUCCGAGCGUCGUUUCAACCCUCGAGCCCCCGUGGCCGGCGUUGGGGAUCUGCCCAGGCAGGCCCCUAAAACCAGUGGCGGACCCGUUAUAGGCCCUUCCUUUGCGUAGUAGCAUCAGCCUCGCAUCGGGAGCCGGCGGGCUUCCAGCCUCUAAACCCCCAUCAAGUCCGCUCCGGCGGCACCAAGGUUGACCUCGGAUCAGGUAGGAAUACCCGC